ACUAGAAAGCCAAGGAAACCGGAUUCUCCAAGUCGCGCUUGAAUUUCGCUCGCUCCCGCCUUACCCAGGCUGGGCGUAGGAACUAGACCGGUAGAACCAACCGCCUGCCGCGAGGCUGGCCAAUCCCGGAUCUGGUGCUCGAGCGCUGUUUCCUGAGCCCCGCCCAGGAAGGUCUUGCGCCUGCGCAGUUGAGUAUUGGCUCUCGCUUGCUACCUUAGCUAGUGUGGCCCUUCAUUUUGAGCUGCUGAAUCAUGUGACCGGUGUUGAUUUCACUCCCAGGCUAACCGCGCGGCGAUGAGUGUGAAUGUUUGAGUACUGAGAGCGAGGGAAAGGAGUUGAGAGAGUCUAUGACCAGCUGCUUCCAGCUCUUGAGUUCCCGCCAGAAUGGACUGCCUUGAACUGUGAACUAAAAGAAACUUUGUCCUCUUUAA